UGGCACUGCCCGGUAGCUAAAUGCGGAAGAGAUAAGUGCUGAAAGCAUCUAAGCACGAAACUUGCCCCGAGAUGAGUUCUCCCUGAGACUUUAAGUCUCCUGAAGGAACGUUGAAGACGACGACGUUGAUAGGCCGGGUGUGUAAGCGCAGCGAUGCGUUGAGCUAACCGGUACUAAUGAACCGUGAGGCUUAACCUUACAACGCCGAAG
rnacentral:rRNA from 2 species